CAGCCGCCACGGUAAUACGAAGGGUGCAAGCGUUACUCGGAAUUACUGGGCGUAAAGCGUGCGUAGGUGGUGGUUUAAGUCCGUUGUGAAAGCCCUGGGCUCAACCUGGGAAUUGCAGUGGAUACUGGAUCACUAGAGUGUGGUAGAGGAUAGUGGAAUUUCCGGUGUAGCAGUGAAAUGCGUAGAGAUCGGAAGGAACAUCUGUGGCGAAGGCGACUAUCUGGGCCAACACUGACACUGAGGCACGAAAGCGUGGGGAGCAAACAGGAUUAGAUACCCCAGUAGUCCCUGUCUCUUAUAC
rnacentral:rRNA from 1 species